rnacentral:rRNA from 1 species
AAAGAUUAAGCCAUGCAUGUCUAAGUAUAAACAAAUCUAUACUGUGAAACUGCGAAUGGCUCAUUAAAUCAGUUAUAGUUUAUUUGAUGGUUCCUUACUACUUGGAUAACCGUGGUAAUUCUAGAGCUAAUACAUGCACAACAGCCCUGACUUCUGGAAAGGGUGUAUUUAUUAGAUACAAAACCAAUGCGGGCAACCGCUUUUUUGGUGAAUCAUUUUAACUUUGCGAAUCGCAUGGCCUUGUGCCGGCGAUGCUUCAUUCAAAUAUCUGCCCUAUCAACUCAAGUUGGUACAGUAGUGGUCUACCAUGGCUAUGACGGGUAACGGGGAAUUAGGGUUCGGUUCCGGAGAGGGAGCCUGAGAAACGGCUACCACAUCCAAGGAAGGCAGCAGGCGCGCAAAUUACCCAAUCCUGACACAGGGAGGUAGUGACAAUAAAUAACGACACAGGGCUCUUAUGAGUCUUGUGAUUGGAAUGGGAACAAGUUAAAUCUCUUAUCGAGUAUCAAUUGGAGGGCAAGUCUGGUGCCAGCAGCCGCGGUAAUUCCAGCUCCAAUAGCGUAUAUUAAAGUUGUUGCAGUUAAAAAGCUCGUAGUUGGAUUUUGGAUUCGUUUGACUGGUCCGGGAAACUUGGUACUGGUUGAGCGAAUCUUUCCUCUUGGGAAACUGGUGUUGUCAUUUAUGGCAGCAUCAGGGCUCCAAGACUUUUACUGUGAAAAAAUUAGAGUGUUUAAAGCAGGCAUGUGCUUGAAUACAUUAGCAUGGAAUAAUGGUAUAGGAUUUUGGUUCUAUUUUUGUUGGUUUCUAGGACCGAAGUAAUGAUUAAUAGGGAUAGUUGGGGGCGUCAGUAUUUUCCAGUCAGAGGUGAAAUUCUUGGAUUUAGGAAAGACUAACUUCUGCGAAAGCAUUCGCCAAGGAUGUUUUCAUUAAUCAAGAACGAAAGUUAGGGGAUCGAAGACGAUCAGAUACCGUCGUAGUCUUAACCAUAAACUAUGCCGACUAGGGAUCGGCGGAUGUUAUUUUUUGACACCGUCGGCACCUUAUGAGAAAUCAAAGUUUUUGGGUUCUGGGGGGAGUAUGGUCGCAAGGCUGAAACUUAAAGGAAUUGACGGAGGGGCACCACCAGAAGUGGAGCCUGCGGCUUAAUUUGACUCAACACGGGGAAACUCACCAGGUCCAGACAUAGUAAGGAUUGACAGAUUGAGAGCUCUUUCUUGAUUCUAUGGGUGGUGGUGCAUGGCCGCUCUUAGUUGGUGGAGUGAUUUGUCUGGUUAAUUCCGUUAACGAACGAGACCUUAACCUGCUAAAUAGUCACAUGAACACUUGUUCAUGGUCGUACUUCUUAGAGGGACUGUUGGUGUUUAACCAAUGGAAGUUUGAGGCAAUAACAGGUCUGUGAUGCCCUUAGAUGUUCUGGGCCGCACGCGCGCUACACUGACGAAGUCAGCGAGUUUAUAACCUUGAUCGGAAGGUCUGGGUAAUCUUGUGAAUCUUCGUCGUGCUGGGGAUUGACCAUUGCAAUUAUUGGUCAUGAAUGAGGAAUUUCUAGUAGGUGCACUUCAUCAGAGUGCGCCGAUUACGUCCCUGCCCUUUGUACACACCGCCCGUCGCUGUUUCCGAUUGAAUGGCUUAGUGAGGCCUUCGGAUUGAUGCUUCGCUUUUGGCAACAUUAGUGAGGCGCUGAGAAGUUGGUCAAACUUGGUCAUUUAGAGGAAGCAAAAGUCGUAACAAGGUUUCCGUAGGUGAACCUGCGGAAGGAUCAUUAACAAAUUUGCAGUUUCCUUUUGUUUUCUCCAAUGUGAGUUUACUAAGAAAACUAGCAAACUAAACUUGAGCUUCAAUUGAUUUGCCAAGGUUUCUUUUUCCCUGAAAAGAAAAUCGAACUUUGUCAAAUCAUUGGAGUGCAACCCAUUGUGAACUGUUUGACCGACUUCCCUGGAGUUGCUAUGUUUUUUGUUUGAAAUUCGUUUGGAUUUCAUCAAAACCAUACGCCAGGGGGUUUUCAUCAAUACGUAACUCUGUUUAACCUGUUUUGAUAUAUAUGUAAUUAAUUUUUUUGGAAAACAUAAUGAGAAAACAACUUUUAACAAUGGAUCUCUUGGCUCUCGCAACGAUGAAGAACGCAGCGAAAUGCGAUACGUAAUGUGAAUUGCAGAAUUCCGUGAAUCAUCAAAUCUUUGAACGCAAAUUGCGCUUCUCUCCGGAGGAGCACGUCUGUUUGAGCAUCAUUAAGCAACCACUCACAGUGUUAUUCUUUUUUUCUUUCAUUGGAAUAAAGAGUAACGAUUGUGGAAUCUGAGACUUCUUUUCCUCCAAGUUAAGGGUCUUGAAAUUCAUUGAACUAUCGAAGCUGAUGUUUCUUUGGAUUUUGAAACAAAGGAAAGCUAUCGAUGGAAAGCGUAGUAGGUACACUUUGUGCGCCCUAUCGCCUGUACAUCGUUUCCUUUUAUUUUCAAUUUGCAAAUUCGGCCGAGAUAUGGGUUCCCUCUUUUCUUUUUUUUUUCUCAUUCUCAAUUUUAUUAUUUGAAUUCUGAGGGGAAGAAAAAGAAAAACUAAACAUUGUAUUAUCAAACAGUAUGUUUGAACAAUGCAAAUUUGAUCUCAAAUCAGGUGAGACUACCCGCUGGACUUAA